rnacentral:piRNA from 1 species
UGGCUACAUUGAUCUCGAGCUACCGUGC